GACGAACGCUGGCGGCGUGCCUAAUACAUGCAAGUAGAACGCUGAAGGAGGAGCUUGCUUCUCUGGAUGAGUUGCGAACGGGUGGGUAACGCGUAGGUAACCUGCCUGGUAGCGGGGGAUAACUAUUGGAAACGAUAGCUAAUACCGCAUAAUAGCAGUUGUUGCAUGACAACUGUUUGAAAGGUGCAAUUGCACCACUACCAGAUGGACCUGCGUUGUAUUAGCUAGUUGGUGGGGUAACGGCUCACCAAGGCGACGAUACAUAGCCGACCUGAGAGGGUGAUCGGCCACACUGGGACUGAGACACGGCCCAGACUCUUACGGGAGGCAGCAGUAGGGAAUCUUCGGCAAUGGACGGAAGUCUGACCGAGCAACGCCGCGUGAGUGAAGAAGGUUUUCGGAUCGUAAAGCUCUGUUGUAAGAGAAGAACGAGUGUGAGAGUGGAAAGUUCACACUGUGACGGUAUCUUACCAGAAAGGGACGGCUAACUACGUG
rnacentral:rRNA from 1 species